rnacentral:rRNA from 1 species
UACUCGCGGUCCAAGUCGCAAUCACGUUUAUUGGGUCUAAAACAUCCGUAGCUCGCCACGCAAGUCUCUUGUGAAAUCCCACAUCUUAAGUGUGGAAGUGCAAGAGAUACUACAUGGCUAGAGACCGGGAGAGGCAAGGAGUACGGUUAGGGUAUCGGUAAAAUGAGUUAAUCCUAUCUGGACUGACAAUAGCGAAGGCACCUUGCUAGAACGGAUCUGACAGUGAGGGAUGAAGGCUAGGGGCGCAAAACGG